UAUAGAUGGAUCCGCGCUGCAUUAGCUAGUUGGUAAGGUAACGGCUUACCAAGGCAACGAUGCAUAGCCGACCUGAGAGGGUGAUCGGCCACACUGGAACUGAGACACGGUCCAGACUCCUACGGGAGGCAGCAGUAGGGAAUCUUCCGCAAUGGGCGAAAGCCUGACGGAGCAACGCCGCGUGAGUGAUGAAGGUCUUCGGAUCGUAAAACUCUGUUAUUAGGGAAGAACAUAUGUGUAAGUAACUGUGCACAUCUUGACGGUACCUAAUCAGAAAGCCACGGCUAACUACGUGCCAGCAGCCGCGGUAAUACGUAGGUGGCAAGCGUUAUCCGGAAUUAUUGGGCGUAAAGCGCGCGUAGGCGGUUUUUUAAGUCUGAUGUGAAAGCCCACGGCUCAACCGUGGAGGGUCAUUGGAAACUGGAAAACUUGAGUGCAGAAGAGGAAAGUGGAAUUCCAUGUGUAGCGGUGAAAUGCGCAGAGAUAUGGAGGAACACCAGUGGCGAAGGCGACUUUCUGGUCUGUAACUGACGCUGAUGUGCGAAAGCGUGGGGAUCAAACAGGAUUAGAUACCCUGGUAG
rnacentral:rRNA from 1 species